GUGUCAGCCGCCCCGGUAAAACAGGGGGUGCAAGCGUUAAUCGGAAUUACUGGGCGCAAAGCGCGUGUAGGUGGUUUGUUAAGUUGAAUGUGAAAUCCCCGGGCUCAACCUGGGAACUGCAUCCAAAACUGGCAAGCUAGAGUAUGGUAGAGGGUAGUGGAAUUUCCUGUGUAGCGGUGAAAUGCGUAGAUAUAGGAAGGAACACCAGUGGCGAAGGCGACUACCUGGACUGAUACUGACACUGAGGUGCGAAAGCGUGGGGAGCAAACAGGAUUAGAAACCCGUGUAGUCC
rnacentral:rRNA from 1 species